AUUGAACGCUGGCGGCAUGCCUUACACAUGCAAGUCGAACGGCAGCACGGGAGCAAUCCUGGUGGCGAGUGGCGAACGGGUGAGUAAUAUAUCGGAACGUGCCCGGUCGUGGGGAUAACGUAGCGAAAGCUACGCUAAUACCGCAUACGAUCUACGGAUGAAAGCGGGGGAUCGCAAGACCUCGCGCGAUUGGAGCGGCCGAUAUCAGAUUAGGUAGUUGGUGAGGUAAAGGCUCACCAAGCCGACGAUCUGUAGCUGGUCUGAGAGGACGACCAGCCACACUGGGACUGAGACACGGCCCAGACUCCUACGGGAGGCAGCAGUGGGGAAUUUUGGACAAUGGGCGCAAGCCUGAUCCAGCAAUGCCGCGUGCAGGAUGAAGGCCUGGUUGUAAAC
rnacentral:rRNA from 1 species